UCAUUAUAAAAUUGUCUGGUC
rnacentral:piRNA from 1 species